UCUCAAAUCCUCCCAUAAUCAGCUGCAAAUCUCAAGUUCGAGCAGAUUGUUGCAUCUUCACAAAAAAGGACAAGGUGCUCCAAACUAAUUCAUCUACCAACUUUGCUCUCGGAACUUCAAGUCAAGACUUGUAAACCGUUAAUUGUUGAAGUAUGGACUAAAGAUGAAACGAGAUUUAGGGUGGACUAGAUACACACCUAGAUUAAUUUAUCUUUUGUUGUUAUGAUCUAUGUUGAAACAAUGUUGUUGUUUUUGUUUGAAUCUUUGUUAUAA
rnacentral:lncRNA from 1 species